ACAUAUUAUCGCCAAACCUGAUGUGAGUCAGGGACGGAAAACCUACAGCUGUGCAUUAGUGGCAUCAGGGCUGGGCUGCAUGA
rnacentral:ncRNA from 1 species